UCCCACCUUUGUUUCACUUGUUCCCUCGGUCUGGAAUUCUUCGUCUCAGCCAAAUUCGCGUCAGAUCCUGUUGGCCCUUCCUGUUCUGGCCCAAAAUCUUUUUUGUAGAACUACAGAAAUGUAUAAAAAGAUAAACUAAAGCUGCCGUGUAAGGACCUCCCCCUGAAUGGCUGUGUGUAUGGAAGGGGGCGGACGCUCGGGUCGGGGGAUCCCAGUCGAAGCGGUUUCUUCCUCAAGGUGGAGUCGCUCCGGGCGCACCACGCAGACAGCGCACACAGCGUUUAUAUAUAAUGGUCUGUAUCAAUGAGUGGAUCAACUAGAAGCCAAAAGAAACAUGUGAGGGGACGUUAACUCAGAAUUCUUCCAGCUGGCUGACAGAGUUGGCUCACACUCGCCACCUCACUAAGACACUGCCCAACGGGAUCCAUUUGUUCAUAUGCUUGGAGAAAAACUUUCUCUUAGGGACAGGAAUAAGGUCUGGAGAAGUCGAUUCCAGAAGACAAAAUGCCCUAGAGGAAACAAGAGAGCACCAGCUCCCCGAGUAGUCAGUCGACUGCAAACCCCAAAACCGUAGCUCCUCCUUCGAGCCGGAGUCGAACCAGCGACCUAAGGAUGUCCACACAGAAAGCGCACUACAGUCCUCCGCUCUACCAGCUGAGCUAUCGAAGGGGGUACGGGUUUUGCCUCUCUAGAGUCACCUAUUCAGGACACCUACAAAUAGGGGCGCGGGAGAAACAAUCUAGGGAGGUGUGGACAUCGCAGGGUCACAAAGCCAGCCUCUGAGAAAGCCCCGCCCGCAUUUCUGGGGACAACCCUUCUAGAGCCGGAUUCCCUGACCGCAAGGAGGGGCUUCCAAAGCAGGACCAACCCGUGGGCUCCUCACAGGCACCCCCAGACCCGGUGCAUCACGAGGCCGCCCGGGGCUGGGGGCAUCUGCUCGCCCGGGGGCGGUUGGCUGUCGUGACCGCGCAGCCCGGGACCUCCCGCCGUGAUGUGUGCGGCGUGGAAACCGCCAACUGGCCCCGAAGAACUAGGGAGUGCGGCGGUGGGACACGCAGCUCCGCCCGCGCAGCUCGGCGCCAGGCGGAGAGGGCGGGCCUCCCGGGUCUGGCUGGGGCCUCUUCGCUUUUCCUCACUUCCUGUGCUCGCCUCGGAAUCCAACCGCUUCUGCACAGGCGAAGCGCAACUCUUCCGUGAAUAGUCCACAGACUCGGGGAAGAAGAGGAUGUGGAGCAUAGCACAUAAGGGUAACCCCAGUGUUUCCGCGAGAAAGUACUUCUGGAGAAAAUAUCUUAAGGUGUUUCAAAGAGGAAGCCGCAAUUCCUCUGAGCCGAUAACAAACUUAGUGACCCAAGUCUCGGCCUUCGUUUUCCCGUUGGGGUAGUCAAGUGUUGGAAAACUCGCGGUCACAGGAAACCUUGCGGAACAGCCUACUCCUCCCGAACGCCUCCUCCCUUUCCGGAGGGGAGCUUGUUCAGGGUUCCAAACCUGUGCUGAGCGGGGCACUGGGCCGGACUCCCAUGGUCUACCCCCACCCCCGCGCGCCGCCCCCACCGCCCUCACCGCCCUCAGCCCUUCUCGGACUCCGGCCGUCCUCCGGAAGGGCUCUCGCGGCGGGUCAGUACAGCCCGGGCGUCCUCGGACGCACGGAGCGCUUCCUGCAGCUUCUAAUGGACUCCGCCACAUUCCAGGCAGCAGACCCGCACUUGCGCAGUAGCGCGUAAGAGGAAACGGAUCUAUUCAGCUUGGUUUACUCAGGUAGUGGGACUGCGGCGAGAAGACACACGAACCGAAUUUCCACAAGGGUUAAAAUUACCGGGGGGGAGGGCGGGAGGUUUUAUUUAAAAGAGUAAGAAAUAAGGGAUAAGGCCCCAGCGAGAUUUGAACUCGCGACCCCUGGUUUACAAGACCAGUGCUCUAACCCCUGAGCUAUAGGGCCUCGUGAACUAUUUGUUUGCUUCUUUCUUUGAAAAGGAACGUUUUUUAACGCUGGGCCUUUGUUAGGGGAAUUAAAUGUAGGAAGUGGACAAAAUCCGAAUUUUGUUCCAAUCUAUUUACUCUUGGAAUUUGGUCUGCACGCCCUUGCUAGGGAUAACGCAAUAUGAGGGCCGGUGAUACCAGACACCACUAUUUUAAAGAUCGGAGAAAUCUGCCUAAACCAACACAUUACAACCCAGAGUCCACCUCAGACCUCCCCGAGCCCCCUGGCCGCAGUCUAAAAAUUAAGAGUGGAAACGCGAAGUAGAGGAAGUUGACGACCACAGAUCUCUCGGCCUUCCCACUGAUUUUCUCCUUGACUCCGGAUAGCCACCAACUUUCAACCUCCUUCAAGUUUUUUCUGUGUAUGGACCUUCCGUACAGCUCGAGCCUCUGCACUAGGAACAAGGCAUCAGAUACGGUCUUUAACUUGAAGUCCCUGUCACAGUCUUGUGGAAUAAGAGAAAUUUAGUUUUUAUGAAAGAGAAUAGUGAAAAGUAGCUGUGCCAGCUGUGAGCGGGUGGUGGACCGUGCCAAGCUUCGCAGAUUUGCAGGGCCGGUGGAGCACUAUCAGCCCAAAAGGAUCCUAAAAAUAGUUAUUGGCUGGACAUUUCCUGAGCCUUCAAGAUGAAGUUAAACCCAAGCUUCUCAGGAGAAGUUGAAAGCUCAUUCUUUCCAGUUUUCCUUGCUAAGCUUAGCUGACUUCUGCUGAGCUCCAUAACAGUUAUUGGAAGUGGGAGGAUAGAGCAAAAGAGGCACAUCAGCAUAUUGGCGUUCUGUACUUUCCACUUGGUUGCAGUCAAAAAGAGCAAGAAUUCUUUUCAUAUAAGGUGCAUGGAAAUCCAAGUUUGGUGGGACCUAAGAAACGCUCAGGUAUGGAGAACUGAGGCGUGACUACUAUUCUCUGUAUCAGGAGGAGAAGAGAAUCCGGGGAGGAAGCCUCUGCAGACUCCGCUCCGCCAACACUAGGGAGCGGGCAUAGACUGGCACCGCCUCUCUGAGGUUGGGUCUCAAAGAGCAAAGGGAACCAGCAGUCAAGCUUUUUUCUUGAUCCUUUUAACUCACGUCCCACGCUUCCUGGAGGGCCAAGACUUCUUUUCUGGCUUCGGAACUGAAAAGUAUCAAACUCCAAAUUUAGCGCUGACUUCAGCUUUGGUCUUCUUUACUAGCCCAGCACGACCUUUUACCCCCCCUUACCCCCACCCCAAAGCUAUCUGAAGACAAAAGGAAUUCAUUCCUCCGUGGCGUAAACACUUGUUGAGCGCUUUCUGGGCGCCAGGAGGAAGCUGGCGCGACCCCUGACUUCGCAGUGCGCUUAAGUUCUGGAUCCCAAGGGCUUCGCUUCCGGAGCGGAUAGUUUUAAAGAACUUUCCCUUCAGUUUCUGGAGUGAGAAGAGCUGUUCCGGUUGGGCGGAUUCAGGUUGGGUCCAAUGGAGCGGAGGAGGAGGGGAAGAAUCUCUUUCGUAGGGUCCUUUGGCAAUAUCUACACUCUUGGUCUCAGGUUGGGGGUUCAGAAGACAACGCUGAAAAAACCGGCAGAGAGAUAUAGCUAGGAAGUGCAGGCAAACCUCCCCUGUAGGUUUGGUAGCGUGGCCGAGCGGUCUAAGGCGCUGGAUUUAGGCUCCAGUCUCUUCGGGGGCGUGGGUUCGAAUCCCACCGCUGCCAGGGUUUUGUUUCUAACCGUAAAUAGUCGUAGCCUUCAUCUUCCCUUCAAAUAAAAGUGUAGAUUCCUGCGGCAUUUGGCCAAAUCUCAAAACGCAGUAUCUGAGUUUUCUGAACACUUGGCUCUAGACUGACGGAAUGGGACUAGUGAACGAGCGACUCAGUUUACCGGCGUGGAGCUCGUAAGUCAAGCGGAUCUCUAGAAGACACACUCCUCCGGAUCCUCGACCUCCCUUCUGUUUAAGGGAGAGAAUAGGUGUUGCUUGCCAAAGAGAUGGCAUUUAACCUGGGGCACUCUAGAGAGUGGAGAUAGUUUUGGAAUCUUGACAUAACCUUGAAAGCGCAGUAAAAGUUAAGGUGGGGCAUAGAGGGGAUCAGGUGAGCCUUUGUCACACCGUUUGCUCCUAAAAGUUAACUCGAAAAUAUUCGGCAAUCCUAUUAAGAGCUGAAGUAACAAAUUCAGACAGUCAAACCCAGCACCCAAAGUGGUACCUGGUGCUUCCUCCCAGACCCUUAAUGGGUCACCUAUAGGGUAUUCCUUCUUAUUUCCCUUUCCACUUGCCUCUGGUGUCCACACAGCUACUACAUCACCCCUUCCCUGCUUCCCACCCCCUUUCUGCCUCUCCCUCCAAGCCCACCAUAAGGACAGCAAAGAAGAUAGGCAGGAAGAUAAUCAUUGAAGGAGGCAGUUGCUCACCAGGUCAGGGAAGUGAUUCAAUGACCAGUCUUAGCCAGGCAAGGAAAAACACCCGGACUCCUACCUAGCCGGAAAAGAGUCCUAGGAUGGGUUUGAAAUCAAACCAAAUCAUAAAACCAUAAAGAAUUAUGGCUCUUUAAGAAACAUUCUCACUUUCUGUCCUUUGAGGGCAAUGUCUUUCCUGCCCCAUGUAUAUGUACAGCCUUUGGUACCCAGAGGAUUAACUGGGCAUGGUUUGGAUACAUAUAUACAGAUUUGAAUACAUAUUGCUUACAGAUUUAUGUUCAGGCACUGUCCCCUCCUUAAGACUUCAAGAAGGAGUAAUGGGCUCAUUCUAGUAAAUGGUGAUGGAACCUGACUGGCCUGUGCCCUAAAGGAGGCAAGAGUUCAGACUGUCCAUGUGGCUUCUUACUCUAGUCAACCUCAACAAUGAUGACAUUUUAGACUGGAUAAAUCUUUACUGAGGGGGUUGGGGGUCAUGUGUAUUGUAGGAUGUUUAGUAGCAGUAGUAUUGUCCCAGUUAUGACAGGAUAUCAGUAAUAUUGUCCCAGUUAUGAAAACUGAAAAUGUUUCCAGGCAUUAUCAAUGUCCCCUUGGACAUUGGAGGCAAAAUCAUCCUUAAAGACUGAGGGUCCAACUGUCAUGUCCCACUGUGUGGCUGGUCUUCUCAAUACCCCAACAAAACUUUGAUGGGCAAAGUUUUCUAAUUUUGUUGAAGUACAAUUAAUCAUGUUUUUCUUUUAUGGAUCAUGCUUGUGGUGCUGCAUCUAAAAAAAAUCUUUCCCCGAUGCAAGGUGUCAAAGAUUUCAUUCUAAAUAUUUUGUGGUUUAGAUUUAUGAUCCAUUUUGAGUUCAUUUUUUAUGUGAAGUAAGGAUCAAAAUUGUUUUUUAACAUUUGUUGAAAAGCCUCCCUUUCUAAACAGUACAUUUAUCAUGAGCACUCAGUAAUGUAUAGAAUUGUUAAAUCACUAUAUUCUACACCUGAA